ACAGGAUACAGGAGGCCCAAUUAUCUCUGCUAAACCAGCCUCUCCUCUUGGGCAAGCCCUUCCUGCCUCCUCUGUCGAUGCAGCAAUGCCUACAGCCUUGCGUGCAGAAGAGGCCUGGUCCCCGGCCUUCCAGGAAAAAGGGUGCUGCCUGAGAGGCAUCUCCCUGUUAUCCUCCUCCUCCUCCUCCCGGACACAGACCCUGAUUUCAGCCUCCAUGCCUCGCGUGUGCAGGAGUGCAUGUGUGUGAAUCUGCACGUGUUUUUCCAUCUGGGUGACACUCUCAAACGGCCAUGCGUCUGACCUCCUUCCAGAAAAACAAAGAGUAGAGGGUGGAACUGCUGAUGAGAAAAGGGCAGGAGACUUCAGAGGACAGGAAGUGUUCAAAUGGAGGAGACGGUCCAGGGGACCCCAGCAGAGUGAAUCGGCUGAUUGAUUGAUGUGUUUCUUCUGCAAACAUUCCUGACUCCUCAUCUGUGCCAGGGUGGUCCCAGGAUGCUGGCAGUGGCUCACACCUGUAAUCCUAGCAACUCUGGGAGGCCGAGGCGGGAGGAUCGCUCAAGAUCA